rnacentral:rRNA from 1 species
CCAAUAGCGUAUAUUAAAGUUGUUGCAGUUAAAAAGCUCGUAGUUGAAUUUCGGGGUUCUACCGUUGGUCGGGCAAUAGUCUGUACUGGCGCGUGGAAUUUCUACCUUCUGGGGAACCAUCAUGUUAUUUAUUUAGCGUGGUGGGAAACCAGGACCUUUACCUGGAAAAAAUUAGAGUGUUCAAAGCAGGCUUACGUCUGAAUACAUUAGCAUGGAAUAAUAAAAUAGGACGGUGGUCCUGUUUUGUUGGUUUCUGAAUCACCGUAAUGAUUAAUAGGGAUAGUUGGGGGCAUUAGUAUUCAAUUGUCAGAGGUGAAAUUCUUGGAUUUAUUGAAGACUAACUUCUGCGAAAGCAUUUGCCAAGGAUGUUUUCAUUAAUCAAGAACGAAAGUUAGGGGAUCGAAGACGAUCAGAUACCGUCGUAGUCUUAACCAUAAACUAUGCCGACUAGGGAUCGGACGAUGUUAAUUUUUCUUGACUCGUUCGGCGCCUUACG